rnacentral:rRNA from 1 species
AUGAAGAUACCUCCUAAGAAUAAAAUCUUUGCAUGGUAUCUUUGUCACGGAGCCAUUCUUACUAAAGAUAACCUUAUCAAGAGGAAUUGGCAUGGAAGUUCACGAUGUGUCUUUCGUCACCAUGAUGAUACAAUAAAACAUUUAUUAUUCCAAUGCAAAUUGGCUCGUUCUAUAUGGUCAGUCAUCCAAAUAGUUUCUAGAUUGUAUCCUUCAUGUAAUGUUGCUAAUGUAUUUGGCAACUGGUUGCAUGGGAUUGAUCAUAGGCUUAGGACUCUUCUCAGAGUGAGAGCGCUUGCCAUUAUUUGGUCGCUUUGCCUAUGUAGAAAUGAUAAGGUUUUUAACGAUAAAAGUACAUCUCUGUUACAGGUUAUCUACAGAUGUACCUGGACUCUUUGUUUAUGGCCCUCUCUACAACGCAUGGAGAAUCGAGAUUUGUUUACGGAGGUGUCCGACAAGGGAUACUUUUACCCAACAUAG